rnacentral:rRNA from 1 species
GACGAACGCUGGCGGCGUGCUUAACACAUGCAAGUCGAACGGAAAGUCCCUGCUUUUGUGGGGUGCUCGAGUUGCGAACGGGUGAGUAACCCGUGAGUAACCUGCCCUUGACUUUGGGAUAACUUCAGGAAACUGGGGCUCAUACCGGAUAGGAGCUCCUGCUGCAUGGUGGGGGUUGGAAAGUUUCGGCGGUUGGGGAUGGACUCGCGGCUUAUCAGCUUGUUGGUGGGGUAGUGGCUUACCAAGGCUUUGACGGGUAGCCGGGCUGGGCGGGUGACCGGCCAAGUUGGGAUGGGGAUACGGCACAGACUAGUACGGGAGGCAGCAGAGGGGAAGAGUGCCGAAGGGGAGGAAGGCAGAUGUAGUAACGCCGCGUGCGGGAAGACGGGCAGGGGGUUGGAAACCACUUCCGCCUGUGACGAAGAGUGAGUGACGGUAAUGGGAAAAGAAGCACCGGCUAACUACGUG